rnacentral:rRNA from 1 species
AGAGUUUGAUCCUGGCUCAGAACGAACGCUGGCGGCGUGCUUAACACAUGCAAGUCGAACGCGAACGUCUUCUUCGGAAGACUAGUAGAGUGGCGCACGGGUGAGUAACGCGUAGAUAACCUACCCUUAUGUCUGGGAUAACCCACCGAAAGGUGGACUAAUACCGGAUGUGCUUAUUUUUCAUAAGUUAUAUAAGUAAAGGUGGCCUCUGAUUUAAGCUACUGCAUGAGGAGGGGUCUGCGUACCAUUAGCUUGUUGGUGGGGUAAUGGCCUACCAAGGCAUCGAUGGUUAGCGGGUCUGAGAGGAUGAUCCGUCACACUGGCACUGGAACACGGGCCAGACUCCUACGGGAGGCAGCAGUGAGGAAUAUUGCGCAAUGGGGGAAACCCUGACGCAGCGACGCCGCGUGAGUGAGGAAGGCCUUCGGGUCGUAAAGCUCUGUCAAAAGGGAAGAAGUGCAUAUAAGUUAAUACCUUAUAUGUUUGACGGUACCUUUAAAGGAAGCACCGGCUAACUCCGUGCCAGCAGCCGCGGUAAUACGGAGGGUGCAAGCGUUGUUCGGAAUUACUGGGCGUAAAGGGCGCGCAGGCGGCCUGAUUAGUCAGAUGUGAAAGCCCACGGCUCAACCGUGGGAGUGCAUUUGAAACUGUCAGGCUUGAGUAUCAGAGGGGAAAGUGGAAUUCCUGGUGUAGAGGUGAAAUUCGUAGAUAUCAGGAGGAAUACCGGUGGCGAAGGCGACUUUCUGGCUGAAUACUGACGCUGAGGCGCGAAAGCGUGGGGAGCAAACAGGAUUAGAUACCCUGGUAGUCCACGCCGUAAACGAUGUCAACUAGAUGUAGGGGGGUGUUGAUCCCCUCUGUGUCGCAGCUAACGCAUUAAGUUGACCGCCUGGGGAGUACGGUCGCAAGAUUAAAACUCAAAGGAAUUGACGGGGGCCCGCACAAGCGGUGGAGUAUGUGGUUUAAUUCGAUGCAACGCGAAGAACCUUACCUGGUCUUGACAUCCCGGGAAUCUCUUGAAAACAAGAAAGUGCCUUCAUUAAGAAGGACCCUGGGGACAUGUGCCUCCAUGUCUGUCCUCCAACCCAUGGCCUGUAGAAGUUGGGUUAAAGUCCCCUA